CUGAUCUGGCGAAGCACCUUUAGUUCGAACGAUAUCGAAUGGUCCUGAACCUUCUUGUUCCUCCUCAUCAAUCUCUCGGCUGCUGUUACCAGCCUCAAGAUCGUUCUUGUGGCGUAUAUACGGCAGGUUCUUGAAUUCCCGGAACGUAAAACCCAGAUAGAAAAGCACGAAAUCAACAAUCCUAUGAAAUCCUUGCAUGUCUUAGCGAUAAAGAGGAGAGAUGACACGCCUAAUCAAAAUUCACAAUGUGAACUCGAACUAGGGUUUCAGUUCACUGUUUUAUCACUUUUUCAGGUUCUGCACUCAGACCAUAGAAUCCUGAUCUAACGGACGAAAAAUUAUAAAGCAGAAAUCCUUUUGUUAAACCAGGUUUUGUACUAGGGUUUCAGUUCAC
rnacentral:lncRNA from 1 species